UGUUAGGGCAAGAAGUUGAACUUUUGAAUUCUUACUUCCAAUGCGCUUCUUUACACCUUUAACAACAUCUUUUGCUUGUCUGCCAGCCCAAAACCAAGCCAAAAAGUCCAAGUUUAGGAAACUGAACAAGUUUUGGAGUUGCACAAUGAUAAAAUAUCAUUUUCACAGAGCAAAAUAUAACUAGCUAAGGUAGAUAUUGUGCCAGCUUGAUGAGCUAGAUAGAUUGGACAAAGAGAAGGCGCUUUCUUAGGAUUAGUUGAAUCUGAAAACAUAAUUGAAUAAUGAAUUUGAUAAAGUUAUCUUAGGAAAGAAUAUGAAGGGAUUGUAAGACUGAAUUGCUUCAUACAGUGAAAGGAAGAGCUUUACUAAAAAACUAAUGGCAUUGAAGGGUGACAUCAUUAAGGAUUCUAGUUUUAGUACAAAAGAGACAAGUCAUCUUUAAAUGGAUCUAAAUAAAAUCCAUAGAAGGUUCAUACCAGUGCACUAUCACUCAUGAAAAGGCACUUCAGUUUAAAAGCCUUUUGAGAAGGAGGUGAUGAACAGAGUCCUUAAGAUAGAGAGAAGAUAAAGUAGACCUGACCAUUCAUGUCUAACAGCGUCUACAUGGGUUCAUGUCACUCUAACAUGAAGAAGAUAAGACUCAACCUGAGCAGGGUCGUGAUUGCACAUG
rnacentral:misc_RNA from 1 species